GGUUAUAAAAAUUAAGUUAUAUUAGAAGUUCUUAGUUUCUUGCAGAGGUGGAAUUCGAAUAAGAAAACUCAGACUGUUAGCUUCUUUGAUUUUGAGGCCCUGAAAAUUUAAUUUAAAACCGGGAUUAGAUACCCCGUUAUUUAUUUUGUAAACUUUGAUGUUUGUAAUUUACUUGAGUAUUACGAGUAACUAACAUAAGAGAGAAAUUAGUUAGUGUGGACUUAAAACUCAAAAAACUUGGCGGUGCCUUAAUUCUUUUCAGGGGAACUUGUCCCGUAAUCGAUAGUCCCCGAUUUAACUUACUUUUUUUUGUAUUUUAUUUUAGUUUUAAAACAGUUUGUAUACCGUCGUCGUCAGAUUACCUUUAAGAGAAUAUAAAAGUUGUCGUAAAAAAUAAAUAAAGAGAAUGUCAUGUAGUAAGUAAAUUUUAUUAAAUGUCAGGAUAUUUGUAUAUUUUUAAUGUCAGAUCAAGGUGCAGCUUAUAGAAAAGUGGAGAUGAGUUACAAUGAAUAUUUAUUAGACGAAUUUUAAGUUGUAAAAUUUAAUUGAAGGCGGACUUGAGAGUAAUAUUAGCAAAUAAAGCAUAAAUUUUAAGUAGCGUAUAAAUGUGAAUAUGGUGCUAAGGUGCGU
rnacentral:rRNA from 1 species